UGGGGAAUAUUGCACAAUGGGGGAAACCCUGAUGCAGCGACGCCGCGUGAGUGAAGAAGUAUCUCGGUAUGUAAAGCUCUAUCAGCAGGGAAGAAAGAAAUGACGGUACCUGAGUAAGAAGCCCCGGCUAACUACGUGCCAGCAGCCGCGGUAAUACGUAGGGGGCAAGCGUUAUCCGGAUUUACUGGGUGUAAAGGGAGCGCAGGCGGCGUGGCAAGUCAGAUGUGAAAACCCGGGGCCCAACCCCGGGAGUGCAUUUGAAACUGCCAUGCUGGAGUGCCGGAGAGGUAAGCGGAAUUCCUAGUGUAGCGGUGAAAUGCGUAGAUAUUCGGAGGAACACCGGUGGCGAAGGCGGCCAACUGGGCUUUAACUGACGCUGAGGCUCGAAAGUGUGGGGAGC
rnacentral:rRNA from 1 species